ensembl:lncRNA TRIM16L tripartite motif containing 16 like (pseudogene)
GGCCCCUUUCUCUGGAGGAGCUCCGCGCGUGGCGAGUCUGUGUCCUCCCUGUCCCCCAGAGCAGAGAACCCUCUCUGUGUCUGGACGGGGGAGGAGCAGACGCUGGACAGGUUUUUGGCAAAAUGCUGGCAAUUCCCAGGAAGAUAUGUGGAGAACGGAAAGGUUGCUACACCCAAAUAGUGGCGCAAAGGCUAUGAUUAUGGAGGAUUGGACCUGCAAACUCCAGAACAGAGCAACCUUGUAAAAUGUGUGUGGGCAGCACAGAGACCUUGGGCAAGUUAACAGUUUCCUCAUCUGUAAAUACUGAUUUAUGGAAAGCACCUGGUGUAUGUUCUGCCCUCUGAGGACCCUGCCCUUUCCCAAAAGGGGUAUCUUAAGAAGGAAAAUAUGGCUGCUCUUUGCCGGACAGCAGAGUCCCAGAGUCUCGUUCUGUUGCCCAGGCUGGAGUGCAGUGGCGUGAUCUCGGCUCACUGCAAGCUUCGCCUCCCGGGUUCACGCCAUUCUCCUGCUUCAGCCUCCCGAGUAGCUGGGACUACAGGCGCCCACCACCAUGCCUGGCUAAUUUUUUUUGUAUUUAUAGUAGAGAUGGGGUUUCACCGUGUUAGCCAGGAUGGUCUCGAUCUCCUGACCUCGUGAUCUGCCCGCCUCGGCCUCCCAAAGUGCUGGGAUUACAGGCGUGAGCCACUGCACCCAGCCGAUAGUUUUCUUAUAAUUGAGUUCUGUAUAUAAAAUUACUGUAAAACAAAACUAUCAAAUUAUGUCAAGGGGGUAUACGCAUUUUAAGAUUUUAAGAUUCUUUAAUAUAUGAGUCAAUAAAAUCUUGUCUUUGACACUGCGAA